ensembl:ncRNA Y105E8A.38 ncRNA
AAUGGAUGGCUUAUGAAACUAUGAGAAAAACGAUGAAUUGGCUGCUAGGGAAUUGGUGGACCCAAAGAAGAAAGAGCACAAGUUUUGCAUAUCAC